GGGGGGGAGAGCAGGCACGAGCCUGAUGGGAGAAGAGCUAGAGCAGGCCAGCUGGACCAAGAACCCUUCCCAGAGAAGCUUUGCAAGGCUUCCCUUUGAGACCGAGAUCUCUCCCAAACAAGGCAUUAGGGCAGCAGGCGGGCCGGUCUGCGAGACACUACAAGGAGACAGGGCGUAGGGCGCUGGAGUGUGUUGCAGAAGCUCUCUUUGCUGGAGGACAUCUGCAGUGCAGAGACAGCAAAGUCGAGGUGCCGAAGAGAAGGGGGGAAGCGGAGCCCGCCCACAAUCCCUCCCAGCAUCACUGACUGAAAACCCAGCAGAGUUCCCUCCGCCUCCUCCAGCACCACCGGGGAGCAAGCAGGCAGCAAUCUGAAGGAAGCAGCAGCUUGGUUUAAAAAUAAAGUGAAUCUCAAGAGUGACUGGAUUGCAGCAUCUAUCAAAGAUUUUGUCACAGCAACACAGGAAGGGUUGGGAGGAGCAGUGCCACUGAACACUUGGGUACAUUCCGUGUGCUACGUAUACAGCACUUUAAUAAUGCAGGAAAGCAGCUGCUGCUGACUCUGCUUUGUAAACAGAUAAGCCAGCACAAGCUAUAAUGACAUGUCUAAGAACCUAUAUGCCUAUUAUUUUUCAACAAUGGUCAAGACUGAUAUUUCUGCAAAGGAUUAAUAGCAGUUACACCCUUACAGGCCCAGAUUUGAAUGUGUUUUAAAAUCACGCUCAGCAUUAAAUUCCAACCUAAAUGCAUAGAAACACAUAUGAUAUGUACUGUAUCAUCACCCACUGCUGACAGCCCUCCUGAGAAAGAGGCCCAUAUGUGCUGCAAUACCCUGAAGCAAUGAAAGGAAGAAGGAUGCUACUGCUUACUCCUUUCACUAGGACAGUCUGACACCAAGUACUGCAGUCCAACCCUGGAGAUAGGAAGCGUGCCCAGAAUGUCAGUUUGAAAAUUCAAAAACUGAACUCUACCCAGUAAAAGUCGUUAAAAUUUAAAUUUGAAAAUUUAGCUAUUUCCAACAACAUUUUAAGCGGGCUUGUUACACAAAUAAGGAAUAACUCCACAGAAUUUCACUUCAAACUAGAUUUUGAUUUAAUGGUUAGGGGAAAAGCACUUCAAACAAGGGUAGUUUUUACAAUUCUUGCUGUUCUAUUAUUCAGUGAAAGGUUAACGGAUUUAUGUCAGUUUAAUUGACUCAAUCUCAAAAACUGAGUUACAAGUUGUUCCAGCUACUAACACCUGCUUCUGAUUGCACCUGCCAAUUUUUGUUGUUUAAAACCUGAAGUUUGCUAUUUUUUAAAUACAUUUUUAUCUCCCUUGUUUCUUUGUGAAAGACAUACAAACAACAGGCAAACUGACUACAGUGAAACACACAAAGUGGGCGAAGUAAUAUCUUGUACUGGCUCUUCUGUUGGUGAGAGAGGACAAGCUUUUGAACAUACAUAGAGGUCUUCUUCAGUUCUUCCCAGACCUGAAGAAGAGCUCUGUGUAAACUCAAAAUCUAGUUUCCCUCAGCAACAGAAGAUAUUACCUCACCCACUUUGUUUCUCUAAUAUCUACUCCUGGGGGAAUUCUGUGCCAAAAACAUAAAAAUUCUGCAGAUAUUCUACAAUAUUAUAAAAUUGUGCAUAUUUUAUUUGUCAAAAUAACACAAUAAAAUCCCUCUGGUUUCAAUUA